rnacentral:lncRNA from 1 species
CUAAAAAGAAGGACAAACCUUAGUCAAACUAAUGAAAAAAAAAGGAUACCCAACUAGGUUAUGGUAGCUUAUGCUAAAACAAACAAACAUAAAACCCAAAAAACAAAAAAGAAGAGAGAGAGAAAAAAUACCAAUACCCAGGAGACUGAAGUUGGAGGGCUAUUGCAAAUCUGAGGCUAUCCUGGGCUACAAUGAAUUCGAGAAUCGUCUAAACUAUCCCUUUUUAUUGAUGAGCAUAGGUAAAGAAAUCUCCAAUCAAAUAUUUGCCAUGAAGUUUAACACCAUGAUGAAGUUAGUCCAUAUCAAGAAUGCAUAGAUGGUUCAAAAUAUGCAAACCAACCCACACAAUACAGUACAUAAACAUAAUGAAGCACAAAAAUCAGAAAACUUUCAAUACAUCUUGAAAAAUUUUAAGUCAAGUCCAUUUAAGAGAAAAGUAACCAGGAAUAGAAGGAUUACACCUCAGCAUAACAAGAGUUAUGUAUUACAGAUUCCAAUAACCAACAUAUGUGUAUAUGGAAAACUAUGCGAAUUGUUUCUAAAAUGAGAAACUACACAUGGUUGUUCAGUAUCACUAUUCUUAUUUAGUAUAGUGCUUGGGUAGGGUUGUAAGACAAGAGUUAAAUAAAUGGAAGUAAGUAGGAAAGAAGGAAGUCAAAUUAUUUCCAUUCAUUGAGGAUAGGAUCCUCAAUUUAUUGACCCCAAGAAUUCCCUGAGAAAACUCUUAGAGGUGAUAAAUACAAAAUCAAUAGAUACCACCAACAAAUUAGAUGGUAAUGAAACUGAGAAAACAAUUCCCAUUCACAAUAGCUCCCUUCAGACUAAAAUACCUAGUAAUAAACCCAAUCACAUAUUUUUGAAAGGCUUCUACAAUAAAUAUAUCUUAUAUUGAAGAAAACAACCAAAGAAAUUAGGUAGUAGAAAGACAUUCUGUGUUCUUGAAUUAAUAAAAUUAAAAGUAAUUUAUUGACUCAAUCUAAUCCCAACCAAGAUUCCAAUGACAUUUUUUUUGUAGAGAAAUUAAUUCUAAAAUUCAAAUGUAAACACAAAGGCUUCCAAUCAGCCUGGACAAUCUUUAUGGGGGGAAAAAAAACAAUGCUAGAUGUAAGCUAAGGUCAUAAUACCUGACCCUAAAUUAAUACAUCAGUAGUAAUGAAACCGUAUGCCUCUACCAUGAAAAAAGAUACAUGCAGCCAUAGAAUAUUCUAUAUACACAGAAAUGAAUGCGUACAUUUAGAGCUAUGAAUUUUGGCAAAAUACCAAGAAUAUACACUGGAGGAAAAUAGUCAUUUUAGUGACUGGUGCUGGGGAAACUGAAUAUUCACAUGUAAGAGAAUGAAAGAAGUCGAAGUUUGAAACAGUGCAAUAAUCAACUCAAGGGCUGGCAAGAUGGCCCAGUGGGCUAUGGGGAUUUCCAUGGAGCCUGAAGACCUACCAGGUUCAACCCUCAAGUGGAAAGAGUAAAACCUCAUUCCACUGACUCCAUAGGUAUAUGCUCUUUCCACUUGCCAUACACAUACACAUACACAUACACAUACACAUACACAUACACAUACACAUACACAUACACAUACACAUACACAUACACAUACACAUACACAUACACACACACACACACACACACACACACACACACACACACACACACAUACAUAUACACAUACAUACACACACACACACCUCCACCACCACUAUUAAUAAUAACACUACUAAUCUCAGCUUAAAUGCAUCAAAUACCUUAACUAAGAUUUCAAACUUAGAAACUUCUAGAAGAAUAUACUGGGAAGUACUCAAGUUAUGUGCACAGGCAAGGGCUUUCUGAUAGUACUCCAGUAGUUCAGGAAACAACAAGCUUAAAGAACUGUCUAUGUGUAAGGUUAAUCUAUGAAACUGUGGAAACGUGGGCAGAUUCUCCGGGCUUAGGGAAUUGCAUCAACUACUUCUGAAUAGCCAAAGAAACAAGAACGAGUAAAAAGCAAAAAAUAAUAUUCAAAUCUUGACAUAAUAACUUCUAAUUAUUCAUGUUGAGUAGGUAUCCACACACAUAAAAUACAUAAAAAUUAAAUAUUAAGGGACAAAUAGUUUGAUCAAUAAGCCAACAUGUGACCCAAACACACAGUUUGCAGAUGAAGAAAAAUGUCCAAUAAACAUAUAACAAAUUACAC